UACGUAGGGAGCAAGCGUUGUCCGGAAUCAUUGGGCGUAAAGCGCGCGUAGGUGGCCUCAUAAGUCCGCUGUGAAAGUCAAAGGCUCAACCUUUGAAUGUCAGCGGAUACUGCCGGGCUAGAGUCCGGAAGAGGCGAGGUGGAAACUCCUGGUGUAGCGGUGGAAUGCGCAGAUAUCAGGAAGAACACCCGUGGCGAAGGCGGCUCUCUGGGACGGUACUG
rnacentral:rRNA from 1 species